UACGUAGGGUGCAAGCGUUGUCCGGAAUUAUUGGGCGUAAAGAGCUCGUAGGCGGUCUGUCGCGUCGAAUGUGAAAAUCCGAGGCUCAACCUCGGACCUGCAUUCGAUACGGGCAGACUAGAGUUCGGUAGGGGAGUCUGGAAUUCCUGGUGUAGCGGUGGAAUGCGCAGAUAUCAGGAGGAACACCGGUGGCGAAGGCGGGUCUCUGGGCCGAUACUGACGCUGAGGAGCGAAAGCCAGGGGAGCAAACGGG
rnacentral:rRNA from 1 species